rnacentral:rRNA from 1 species
CCUACGGGAGGCAGCAGUGGGGGAUAUUGCACAAUGGGGGAAACCCUGAUGCAGCGACGCCGCGUGUGGGAAGACGGUCCUCUGGAUUGUAAACCACUGUCCCCAGGGACGAAGAUGACGGUACCGGGGGAGGAAGCUCCGGCUAACUACGUGCCAGCAGCCGCGGUAAUACGUAGGGAGCGAGCGUUGUCCGGAAUUACUGGGUGUAAAGGGAGCGUAGGCGGGACUGCAAGUUGGGUGUCAAAUCUACCGGCUCAACCGGUAGCCGCACUCAAAACUGCAGUUCUUGAGUGAAGUAGAGGCAGGCGGAAUUCCUAGUGUAGCGGUGAAAUGCGUAGAUAUUAGGAGGAACACCAGUGGCGAAGGCGGCCUGCUGGGCUUUUACUGACGCUGAGGCUCGAAAGUGUGGGGAGCAAACAGGAUUAGAUACCCGUGUAGUC